rnacentral:rRNA from 1 species
CGGCGGCCGUAACUAUAACGGUCCUAAGGUAGCGAAAUUCCUUGUCGGGUAAGUUCCGACCUGCACGAAUGGCGUAAUGAUGGCCAGGCUGUCUCCACCCGAGACUCAGUGAAAUUGAACUCGCUGUGAAGAUGCAGUGUACCCGCGGCAAGACGGAAAGACCCCGUGAACCUUUACUAUAGCUUGACACUGAACAUUGAGCCUUGAUGUGUAGGAUAGGUGGGAGGCUUUGAAGUGUGGACGCCAGUCUGCAUGGAGCCGACCUUGAAAUACCACCCUUUAAUGUUUGAUGUUCUAACGUUGGCCCGUUAUCCGGGUUGCGGACAGUGUCUGGUGGGUAGUUUGACUGGGGCGGUCUCCUCCUAAAGAGUAACGGAGGAGCACGAAGGUUGGCUAAUCCUGGUCGGACAUCAGGAGGUUAGUGCAAUGGCAUAAGCCAGCUUGACUGCGAGCGUGACGGCGCGAGCAGGUGCGAAAGCAGGUCAUAGUGAUCCGGUGGUUCUGAAUGGAAGGGCCAUCGCUCAACGGAUAAAAGGUACUCCGGGGAUAACAGGCUGAUACCGCCCAAGAGUUCAUAUCGACGGCGGUGUUUGGCACCUCGAUGUCGGCUCAUCACAUCCUGGGGCUGAAGUAGGUCCCAAGGGUAUGGCUGUUCGCCAUUUAAAGUGGUACGCGAGCUGGGUUUAGAACGUCGUGAGACAGUUCGGUCCCUAUCUGCCGUGGGCGCUGGAGAACUGAGGGGGGCUGCUCCUAGUACGAGAGGACCGGAGUGGACGCAUCACUGGUGUUCGGGUUGUCAUGCCAAUGGCACUGCCCGGUAGCUAAAUGCGGAAGAGAUAAGUGCUGAAAGCAUCUAAGCACGAAACUUGCCCCGAGAUGAGUUCUCCCUGAGACUUUAAGUCUCCUGAAGGAACGUUGAAGACGACGACGUUGAUAGGCCGGGUGUGUAAGCGCAGCGAUGCGUUGAGCUAACCGGUACUAAUGAACCGUGAGGCUUAACCUU